AGGGGAAGCAUUUCAAAUUCCCCUAAUGGUUUUGAAAUCUAUUUUUGUUGUUGUUGUUGUUGUUUGUUUUUGUUUUUGUUUUUUUGAGACGGAGUCUCUCUCUGUUGCCCAAGCUGGAGUGCAGUGGUGUGGUCUUGGCUCACUGCAAGCUCUGCCUCCCGGGUUCAAGCAAUUCUCCUGCCCCAGCCUCCUGAGUAGCUGGGAUUACAGGCACCUGCCACCACACCCGGCUAAUUUUUUGUAUUUUUAGUAGAGACCGGGUUUGCCCAUGUUGGCCAGGCUGGUCUUGAACUCCUGACCUCGUUAUCUGCCCACCUUGGCCUCCCAAAGUGCUGGGAUUACAGGUGUGAGCCACCACGCCCAGCCCAAAAUCUGUUUUAAUGUUCCAUUUGUGUUUUCAGGGGAGACAUAGAAAUAGCGUAUGAUUUAUUGAUGAUACUGAUCCUGCCUCAACGUUUUGAUAUUCUCUUUGUUUGGCAGAAAGGAGGCUGAAGGCCCUUCUGAUCCUAGUCGGCAGCAGCUGGGGUGUUACAGUCUCGGUGUCCAAGGGCCCAGGUCUGGUACUGGAAAUGGAUGUGUGGGGCCCAGCCUGAAUCACACCCCAGGUCCUUUCCGUACUGCUUCCAUUUCCUUUUUGGACUUCUUUCUCCGGGGCUGGCAACAGCCUUGUACGUGUACACAUGCCUGGGGGGACAGCUGGGCUCCAUUGGCAGGUGGGAGGAGCCUGGGGACAUGGUGGUGGUGGGAGAGGAGCCUCUGGACAUGGUGGGAGGCACAGGAGCCUGGAGGCUUUUCUCCUGCUGUUUUCUCUUUGCUCCCCAGGGCAAGCACAUACCCUGUUGCUUGCACUGAGUCUACUCUCCAAAGCAACCAUGACUCGUGUUAAGGUGGAAGAUCAAGUGCAAGGCGGUGCCAGUUAAAUAGUCGGGAAUAUUUACUUGGUGCAAAACUGAGGAUCAAAGAGAACAAGAGCAUUCGGUUUUAGAGAAAGUCAGAAACCCCAGAGACCAGCCACAGACUUGCAUCCUGAUGCAUCAAGAGCCCCAAAAGGGCUGCUGUGACACAGUACCACAAGAAAGGGAGGCUCAAAACAGCAGAAAUGGACUGUCUCAAAGCUCUGGAGGCCAGAAGUCUCAGAUGAGAGUGUUGGCAGGGCCGUGCUCCCUCUGAACUCUGCGGGCAGAAUCCCUCCUCGCCUCUUCCAGCUUCUGGUGGUCUCAGUCAGUCCUUGGCUUGGGGCAGCAUUGCUUCUGCAGCCGCAUGGCCUUCUCCCUGUGUCUCCUCACACAGCCCUCCCCUGGAUGUGUCUCUGUUUUCAACCUCCUCUGUUUGGAAGGACAUCAGUCAUACUAGGUUAGGACCUGUCUAAAGACCUCCAGUCAGCUUGACUACAUCUGCAAACAAGCUCACAUCACGAGGCCCUGGGGGUUAAGAGUUCAACUUGGCUUUUUCUGGAGGGGAGGGACACAGUGUAACCUAUUAUCAGUUUUCUGGGGUGUUCAAGUUGGAGUAUAUUUCUUUGUAUCAUU